rnacentral:rRNA from 1 species
GAUGAACGCUGGCGGCGUGCCUAAUACAUGCAAGUCGAGCGAACGGACGAGAAGCUUGCUUCUCUGACGUUAGCGGCGGACGGGCGAGUAACACGUGGAUAACCUACCUAUAAGACUGGGAUAACUUCGGGAAACCGGAGCUAAUACCGGAUAAUAUUUUGAACCGCAUGGUUCAAAAGUGAAAGACGGUCUUGCUGUCACUUAUAGAUGGAUCCGCGCUGCAUUAGCUAGUUGGUAAGGUAACGGCUUACCAAGGCAACGAUUCAUAGCCGACCUGAGAGGGUGAUCGGCCACACUGGAACUGAGACACGGUCCAGACUCCUACGGGAGGCAGCAGUAGGGAAUCUUCCGCAAUGGGCGAAAGCCUGACGGAGCAACGCCGCGUGAGUGAUGAAGGUCUUCGGAUCGUAAAACUCUGUUAUUAGGGAAGAACAUAUGUGUAAGUAACUGUGCACAUCUUGACGGUACCUAAUCAGAAAGCCACGGCUAACUACGUG